rnacentral:rRNA from 1 species
GACGAACGCUGGCGGCGUGCUUAACACAUGCAAGUCGAACGGAAAGGCCCUGCUUUUGUGGGGUGCUCGAGUGGCGAACGGGUGAGUAACACGUGAGUAACCUGCCCUUGACUUUGGGAUAACUUCAGGAAACUGGGGCUAAUACCGGAUAGGAGCUCCUGCUGCAUGGUGGGGGUUGGAAAGUUUCGGCGGUUGGGGAUGGACUCGCGGCUUAUCAGCUUGUUGGUGGGGUAGUGGCUUACCAAGGCUUUGACGGGUAGCCGGCCUGAGAGGGUGACCGGGCACCAUGGGAAUGAGAUACGGGCCAGGACCCUAAGGGAGGCAGCAGUGGGGAAUAUUGCACAAUGGGCGGAAGCCUGAUGCAGCAACGCCGCGUGCGGGAUGACGGCCUUCGGGUUGUAAACCGCUUUCGCCUGUGACGAAGCGUGAGUGACGGUAAUGGGUAAAGAAGCACCGGCUAACUACGUG